rnacentral:rRNA from 1 species
UACGGGGGGAGCAAGCGUUGUUCGGAUUUACUGGGCGUAAAGAGCUCGUAGGCGGUCUGUCGCGUCUGGUGUGAAAACUCAGGGCUUAACCCUGAGCUUGCAUCGGGUACGGGCAGACUAGAGUGCGGUAGGGGAGACUGGAAUUCCUGGUGUAGCGGUGUAAUGCGCAGAUAUCAGGAGGAACACCGGUGGCGAAGGCGGAUCUCUGGGCCUUACCUGACGCUGAGGCGCGAAAGCUAGGGGAGCGAACAGG